GACGAACGCUGGCGGCGUGCUUAACACAUGCAAGUCGAACGGAAAGGCCCUGCUUUUGUGGGGUGCUCGAGUGGCGAACGGGUGAGUAACACGUGAGUAACCUGCCCUUGACUUUGGGAUAACUUCAGGAAACUGGGGCUAAUACCGGAUAGGAGCUCCUGCUGCAUGGUGGGGGUUGGAAAGUUUCGGCGGUUGGGGAUGGACUCGCGGCUUAUCAGCUUGUUGGUGGGGCAGUGGCUUACCAAGGCUUUGACGGGUAGCCGGCCUGAGAGGGUGACCGGCCACAUUGGGACUGGGAUACGGCCCAGCCUCCUACGGGAGGCAGCAGUGGGGAAUAUUGCACAAUGGGCGGAAGCCUGAUGCAGCAACGCCGCGUGCGGGAUGACGGCCUUCGGGUUGUAAACCGCUUUCGCCUGUGACGAAGCGUGAGUGACGGUAAUGGGUAAAGAAGCACCGGCUAACUACGUG
rnacentral:rRNA from 1 species